rnacentral:rRNA from 1 species
UGACUGGUAAAGGCGAUGAAGGACGUACUAGACUGCGAUAAGCUACGGGGAGCUGUCAAGAAGCUUUGAUCCGUAGAUUUCCGAAUGGGGCAACCCAAUGUAUAGAGAUAUACAUUACCUAUAUAGGAGCGAACGAGGGGAAUUGAAACAUCUUAGUACCCUCAGGAAAAGAAAUCAAUAGAGAUUGCGUCAGUAGCGGCGAGCGAAAGCGCAAGAGGGCAAACCCAGUGCUUGCACUGGGGGUUGUAGGACUGCAAUGUGCAAGAGGUAAGUUUAGCAGAACAUUCUGGAAAGUAUAACCAUAGAGGGUGAUAGUCCCGUAUGCGAAAAACAAACCUUAGCUAGCAGUAUCCUGAGUAGGGCGGGACACGAGGAAUCCUGUCUGAAUCCGGGUCGACCACGAUCCAACCCUAAAUACUAAUACCAGAUCGAUAGUGCACAAGUACCGUGAGGGAAAGGUGAAAAGAACUGAGGUGAUCAGAGUGAAAUAGAACCUGAAACCAUUUGCUUACAAUCAUUCAGAGCCCUAUGUAGCAAUACAGGGUGAUGGACUGCCUUUUGCAUAAUGAGCCUGCGAGUUGUGGUGUCUGGCAAGGUUAAGCAAACGCGAAGCCGUAGCGAAAGCGAGUCUGAAUAGGGCGCUUAGUCAGAUGCUGCAGACCCGAAACGAAGUGAUCUAUCCAUGAGCAAGUUGAAGCUAGUGUAAGAACUAGUGGAGGACUGAACCCAUAGGCGUUGAAAAGCCCCGGGAUGACUUGUGGAUAGGGGUGAAAGGCCAAUCAAACUUCGUGAUAGCUGGUUCUCUCCGAAAUAUAUUUAGGUAUAGCGUUGUGUCGUAAUAUAAGGGGGUAGAGCACUGAAUGGGCUAGGGCAUACACCAAUGUACCAAACCCUAUCAAACUCCGAAUACCUUAUAUGUAAUCACAGCAGUCAGGCGGCGAGUGAUAAAAUCCGUCGUCAAGAGGGAAACAACCCAGACUACCAGCUAAGGUCCCUAAAUCUUACUUAAGUGGAAAACGAUGUGAAGUUACUUAAACAACCAGGAGGUUGGCUUAGAAGCAGCCAUCCUUUAAAGAAAGCGUAAUAGCUCACUGGUCUAGUGAUUUUGCGCGGAAAAUAUAACGGGGCUAAAGUAAGUACCGAAGCUGUAGACUUGCACACAACUUAGAUUAUUUAAGUUUAGAAUAUGAGAAACUAAGUUAUAUGUUUAGUUAUAUUUUUACUGAUUUUUAUAGAGUAAAGAUAGAAAUAAAACUUAGUAAAAUCAGUAAAAAUAUUCUUAGACUAAAGUUAAGUAGUUUAAGUUGUGUGCAAGUGGUAGGAGAGCGUUCUAUUUGCGUCGAAGGUAUACCGGUAAGGAGUGCUGGAGCGAAUAGAAGUGAGCAUGCAGGCAUGAGUAGCGAUAAUUAAUGUGAGAAUCAUUAACGCCGUAAACCCAAGGUUUCCUACGCGAUGCUCGUCAUCGUAGGGUUAGUCGGGUCCUAAGUCGAGUCCGAAAGGGGUAGACGAUGGCAAAUUGGUUAAUAUUCCAAUACCAACAUUAGUGUGCGAUGGAAGGACGCUUAGGGCUAAGGGGGCUAGCGGAUGGAAGUGCUAGUCUAAGGUCGUAGGAGGUUAUACAGGCAAAUCCGUAUAACAAUACUCCGAGAACUGAAAGGCUUUUUGAAGUCUUCGGAUGGAUAGAAGAACCCCUGAUGCCGUCGAGCCAAGAAAAGUUUCUAAGUUUAGCUAAUGUUGCCCGUACCGUAAACCGACACAGGUGGGUGGGAUGAGUAUUCUAAGGCGCGUGGAAGAACUCUCUUUAAGGAACUCUGCAAAAUAGCACCGUAUCUUCGGUAUAAGGUGUGGUUAGCUUUGUAUUAGGAUUUACUCCGAAAGCAAGGAAACUUACAACAAAGAGUCCCUCCCGACUGUUUACCAAAAACACAGCACUCUGCUAACUCGUAAGAGGAUGUAUAGGGUGUGACGCCUGCCCGGUGCUCGAAGGUUAAUUGAUGGGGUUAGCAUUAGCGAAGCUCUUGAUCGAAGCCCGAGUAAACGGCGGCCGUAACUAUAACGGUCCUAAGGUAGCGAAAUUCCUUGUCGGUUAAAUACCGACCUGCAUGAAUGGCGUAACGAGAUGGGAGCUGUCUCAAAGAGGGAUCCAGUGAAAUUGUAGUGGAGGUGAAAAUUCCUCCUACCCGCGGCAAGACGGAAAGACCCCGUGGACCUUUACUACAGCUUGACACUGCUACUUGGAUAAGAAUGUGCAGGAUAGGUGGGAGGCUUUGAGUAUAUGACGCCAGUUGUAUAUGAGCCAUUGUUGAGAUACCACUCUUUCUUAUUUGGGUAGCUAACCAGCUUGAGUUAUCCUCAAGUGGGACAAUGUCUGGUGGGUAGUUUGACUGGGGCGGUCGCCUCCCAAAUAAUAACGGAGGCUUACAAAGGUUGGCUCAGAACGGUUGGAAAUCGUUCGUAGAGUAUAAAGGUAUAAGCCAGCUUAACUGCAAGACAUACAAGUCAAGCAGAGACGAAAGUCGGUCUUAGUGAUCCGGUGGUUCUGUGUGGAAGGGCCAUCGCUCAAAGGAUAAAAGGUACCCCGGGGAUAACAGGCUGAUCUCCCCCAAGAGCUCACAUCGACGGGGAGGUUUGGCACCUCGAUGUCGGCUCAUCGCAUCCUGGGGCUGGAGCAGGUCCCAAGGGUAUGGCUGUUCGCCAUUUAAAGCGGUACGCGAGCUGGGUUCAGAACGUCGUGAGACAGUUCGGUCCCUAUCUGCCGUGGGCGUAAGAAGAUUGAAGAGAUUUGACCCUAGUACGAGAGGACCGGGUUGAACAAACCACUGGUGUAGCUGUUGUUCUGCCAAGAGCAUCGCAGCGUAGCUAAGUUUGGAAAGGAUAAACGCUGAAAGCAUCUAAGCGUGAAGCCAACUCUAAGAUGAAUCUUCUCUAAGCUCUCUAGAAGACUACUAGUUUGAUAGGCUGGGUGUGUAAUGGAUGAAAGUCCUUUAGCUGACCAGUACUAAUAGAGCGUUUGGCUUAUCUUUAAUAAAGCAU